rnacentral:rRNA from 1 species
GAUGAACGCUGGCGGCGUGCCUAAUACAUGCAAGUCGAGCGAACAGACGAGGAGCUUGCUCCCCUGACGUUAGCGGCGGACGGGUGAGUAACACGUGGAUAACCUACCUAUAAGACUGGGAUAACUUCGGGAAACCGGAGCUAAUACCGGAUAAUAUAUUGAACCGCAUGGUUCAAUAGUGAAAGACGGUUUUGCUGUCACUAAUAGAUGGAUCCGCGCCGCAUUAGCUAGUUGGUAAGGUAACGGCUUACCAAGGCGACGAUGCGUAGCCGACCUGAGAGGGUGAUCGGCCACACUGGAACUGAGACACGGUCCAGACUCCUACGGGAGGCAGCAGUAGGGAAUCUUCCGCAAUGGGCGAAAGCCUGACGGAGCAACGCCGCGUGAGUGAUGAAGGUCUUCGGAUCGUAAAACUCUGUUAUUAGGGAAGAACAAAUGUAUAAGUAACUAUGCACGUCUUGACGGUACCUAAUCAGAAAGCCACGGCUAACUACGUG